GAGGCGUAGCUCAGUUGGUUAGAGCGCUACCUUGACAUGGUAGAGGUCGGAGGUUCGCGCGAGCAACGCUUUA
rnacentral:tRNA from 1 species